GUGCUUGCUUGGGCAGUACAUAUACUAACAUGGGAGUGAUACGGAGAACAUAGCGUGGCCCUGCACGAGGAUGACACGCAAGUUCUUGAAAUGUUCCGUAAUUUU
rfam:Tupaia chinensis contig34859, whole genome shotgun sequence.